AUUAUAAUCACAAACCAUCGUUACUGGAAGCGCACCAAUAUCGAAAACAUCGAUAUACUAGACAAAGUCUUCCUCUGCCUAAUCACAUGCUCCAGUCUUUGAGGUCUUUGAUGGGGAAGACAACAAAUGAGCGUUCAACUUAUGCAAGCUUGACAACGUGACGGCAAAGGGGACCUAGCCUAUCUAUUUAUAAGAUAACAACCCUAGUACCACCCAUCAUGGACUUUAGAGUUGGGCCUACACUUUGUUUCUACACAAANNNNNNNNNNNNNNNNNNNNNNNNNNNNNNNNNNNNNNNNNNNNNNNNNNNNNNNNNNNNNNNNNNNNNNNNNNNNNNNNNNNNNNNNNNNNNNNNNNNNNNNNNNNNNNNNNNNNNNNNNNNNNNNNNNNNNNNNNNNNNNNNNNNNNNNNNNNNNNNNNNNNNNNNNNNNNNNNNNNNNNNNNNNNNNNNNNNNNNNNNNNNNNNNNNNNNNNNNNNNNNNNNNNNNNNNNNNNNNNNNNNNNNNNNNNNNNNNNNNNNNNNNNNNNNNNNNNNNNNNNNNNNNNNNNNNNNNNNNNNNNNNNNNNNNNNNNNNNNNNNNNNNNNNNNNNNNNNNNNNNNNNNNNNNNNNNNNNNNNNNNNNNNNNNNNNNNNNNNNNNNNNNNNNNNNNNNNNNNNNNNNNNNNNNNNNNNNNNNNNNNNNNNNNNNNNNNNNNNNNNNNNNNNNNNNNNNNNNNNNNNNNNNNNNNNNNAUCGUAAUUUCUUCUAUUGAUUGUUUUUUAUUUCUUUUUCAAUUCAAUAAGUGAUUUACACAUAAUUUUAGGUUUCAUUUGAGUUUUUCCUUUGUGAUUUAUAAGUUUGUCCCGCCUUAGUGCGGAGUUGUUUGUCAUCCAGUAUUCGUACGGUGUUUGUCCCGUCUUCGUAUGAUGUAUGUUUUGUUUAAAUUUGCUGAUUUGUUUCCAUCCAAAAUUAGAGUAGAUUCAAUGAUUUUAGAGCCGUCAACGUUGCAUUACUAUUCCGGACACUUGGAUUUUAUUAUAUCAAUUGUAGGCUUUGUCAUAUUUGUAGACAUUGAGCCGUUUUAUGCUAUUAAUUCAGAUGUUGUGUGCUUGUUCGCAAAUUCAUCAUUUUUAGUUUUUAGCGAAUUUGAAUAUGUAAUGAUUUCGAUUGAUGUACUCUGUCAAUUUAAAUAAAUGAAUAUUAUUUUUUUCGUUAAAAAAAAAAAAAACUUAUGAGAAUGGCUCCCCAUUCAUAAUAAAAUAUAAUAAUUAUAUAUUAUUUGAACCAAUUUUUUAUUUUUAUUUUUUUUAUAACGUAUUUGAACAAAGUUAUUCUAUUUAUGUUUAAUAAUUGAGUUUAAUUGAUAUGCACCGACGGUAUAAAAUAGUUUUGCACAAUCGUCUAAUAAACAGUCAUUAUUUUGUCAUAUCAUAUCAAGAAAGUGGGGUGGAGUGGGGUGAUGUGGCGGAAAACAUGGUUGGUAUUGGUUGACAGUGUAAAAUUAUUUUACACCGUCGGUGCAUAUCAAUUAAAUCCUUAAUAAUUUGUGUAAAUCUUAGUUAUUAAGAAAUCAAAAUAAAUUUUGCCAUAAAAAGAAAAAAUAAAUCAAAUAAAAUAAAAUAUAAACAGCAAUGAUACAAUAUUUUCUACACAAUUAAUCGUUUCACACAGUUAUGUUAUAGGUAUGAAAUUGUUUAAGAAAAAAUAAUUGGUAAGAAAGAAAAGUGCUUUCUUUGGUUUCCAAAUAAUAAAAUUUUAUUUUUAGAAAAGUUAUGUUUUAUUUUAAGAAAUAUAGUUUCAUACACAUUUAUUUAAAAUAUCACACUUUCUUUUAAUAAAGGUUUAUUUUGACCAAAAUUUAAUCAUUUCAUUAAAAAAAAAAAAAGCAAAAUUUCAUUAUUUAUAAGUAUUAUAUUAAUUUUCAAAAAAUUUCAUAAAAAUUAAAAAAUAUCAAAUAUUCACUAUUAUAAAUAAGAAAAAUUAAGAAAAAAAAUCAAUGUUAUUUUUAUAAUUUACAAUGGAGUCAGUUAAAUUUGUCCUUGUAAGUUUAUAUGCAUGAGUUGGUGUUCGAAUCCCGGACAUCUCACUUAUCUAUCUUAAAGGUAAAAUUUCUGAUCACUAGACUACUUUCGGAGGGAAGCCGUAAAGUGUCCCAGCAACAAGGAAAGUCAGCUUUCUAGAAAGAAAAAAAAUUUACCGACAAUUUUAGUCAAUAUUAUAUAAUUAUUAUACUUUUUUAAAUAAUAAGAAAUACUUUUUCUUUUAAAAACCAUUCACUCAGUUAUUUAUUGAUAGAAUGAAAACCUAGGCGAUAAGACUUAGCUCGUAGUCCACUCCAAACAGUCAACACCAACGCCAUCAAUUUUGGCUCGUGGAGUUGCUUUUUGGAUUAUGAUGGGCCGUUCACUUUUGAUUCAAGAUCGCGAGUUAGAGUCCAGGUGUAUCUUCAUGGGUCGGGUUGAUGGUUUUCAUUGGUGGCUUGGAGACUGCGGAGUAUAUUCUAAGAAUGGGAUUAGAACUACCUCUAUUAGGCCGUGUUUGUUUUUAGCUUUAUUCAAUGGUGAUCCGCUUAUAUACGGCAUCAUUUUUUUGUAGUUCCGUUUUUCCCGGUCUUUGUUCGUCUUAUGCAGAGACCAGUUAUUAUUAAUAUAUAUUUUGCCGUUCAAAAAAAAAAGUCAGGUGGCAAUUUCACCCUUAAGGUGGAUGACCGAAGUUCGAACUUCAAUCCCUAGAUAUAUAAUGCAAUAUCCCUGUCAAUUGACCUAAGUUUACGGGACCUCUCAGUUAUUAAUUUAAAGAGGAUAUAUUCGGUUAAAAAUAAUAAUUAAAGAGGCUAUAAAAAAUUUCUGGAUAUUUGACCAAAAAAAAUCUCUAGGUAUAAAUGAAUUCUUUGUGUAGGUUCAUGAUUAAUUAAGGUGUAUUAAUCAAUUCAAUUAAGAAAACACGUAAAUUUUAAUUAUUUAAUCCUCUGUUUCUCUUCCUUAAUCCCCUGUAUUUGCAUCACAACGUUUCUCUCUCAUUUUGUUCAUUGCAUUGCAUCAAAGAGUGCUUUGUUUUCCUCUUUUCAACUUUGCUCUGUUUUCCAACUUCACCCUCUUAGCACCCCGCCAUCUAGCACAACAUGUACCAACCAGACCAGCGCCCCGCCAUGAACACUAUCCUCUGCCGCAUCCUCUCUAUCUUAACGGCCAUCGUAAUAACCCUCGGUGUCAUCAUCUUGAUCGUAUAUUUCGUCUUCAAACCCCGUUACCCAGAGAUCCGAGUGGAUUCAGCCGAACUCACCUCACUCAAUUUCACCGGCAACUACCUCACCGCUAAAUGGGACAUCAAAUUCAUCGUCUCAAAUCCAAACAAAAAACUCGACAUCACAUACAACCUAAUUUCCUCCGGUGUGUUUUACGGCAAAGAUAAAAACCAAUUCGGAAACAUAGCAACCACUAAACUUCAACCGUUUUACCAACCAAAAAAGAGCAAGACAUUGUUUCCUGUCCAUUUCGAGACUUACAAUACGUAUGUCGGUAAUGUUGUUGCUAAUGGCAUCACCGACGGACGGAUUCGUGGAUCAGUGAAAUUUGGUGUGGUGUUUAAUGCUAUUAUCAAGCGUACAGGUUGGUUUCAUCCUAAGGUUAGUGUGUUGAAGGUUUCAUGCAGUCCUAUGAACUUUGUACCUUCGACCAACACUGCUGUUUGGGUUUUACAACGUCAUGUAAAAUGUGACUAGAUAUGAUGUAUUUGGAGAAAUUAAUCUUAUUUAUCUAAAUCUAAUAGUCGCUACAAUUGUAGUACCAUACUCAAGUUGUUUUCGAUAUGAUAUUUGAAUCUCUAUUUUGUAUGCCUCUCAAUCAAUUAAAUCUUCGGAAUUUUAAUGUAUCGAUGUACAAACCUAUUGAUGUAUCGACUUAUUAAAUUAUGAUGAUUAAUUUUAUAUUUAACUAUUGUUUGUAUGAAAUAUAAUUUUACUUAACCUUUUCUUUUUAAUUUUAAAGAUUUAAGCUACUUUCUCAAAUUAUUUGAGUUUUUUGUAAUAACAAUUGGAGAAAUUUAGUCCUAAAUAUCAAUUACCUGUGUAGUUGUGAGAAGAUAAAUACAAUAUGAACAAUUAGAAACACUGUAAUCUAGUUUUUGGUAAUCAACAUAAUUAUUUAUAAAUUUAUUGGUAUCUUUUAAAAGAAAAAUAAAAUGUGUGGUAACAAUUGUAUAAAAGAUCUAUGUUGAAAACUUGAACUCACAAAUCUUUAAUACUAAACCACUUAAUCAAUAUGGGUACCAAUUUUAGGGACUUCUGGCUUGUCUUACGAUCAAUUAGAAGUUGGAUAUAGUACUACACGCUCAUAUGUGGAAUUACUAGGUUAUGUUUAUGUCGCCAGUUUUUGAAUAUAUUUUUUUUAAUAUAAUAUAAAGAGAUAUAAGCAAAGGAUGCGGAUGAAACCUACUUGGUCCCCGAUGUUUAGAUGUUCUUCGCCUUAUAAAAAAAAUGGAUACCAAUGCCUACAAAUUUGUAUAACAGUUUCUAAGAUUUUAUCGUAAUUUCUUCUAUUAUUUUCAUUAUAUGUUUUUUUACAAAUUUAUUUUCAUUAUAGUUAAAUCAUUAAAUUAUUUAUAGGUAUGUCAGGUACUUUUUUUUAUGGAUAUCAAAGAAUAUAUUUUUUUAUCAAGUGGUCUAAUGGUUAGAAAUUUCACCCUUAUAAAAUACAAUAAAUAAAUAGAGUGUUCGAAAUUCGAAUUCUGACUCCUGCAUAUAAAAUGUGAUGUUGCCGCUAAGUUCAUGGAUAUCAAAGAAUUCAUUGAUUGUUUUUUUAUUUCUUUUUCAAUAUGUGAUUUACACAUAAUUUUAUGUUUUAUUUGAGUUUUUCCUUUGUGAUUUAUACGUUUGUCCCGCCUUAGUACGGAGUUGUUUGUUAUACUGUCUUCGUACGGUGCUUGUUUUGUUUAAAUUUGCAGAUUUGUUUCAAUCCAAAAUCAGAGCAGAUCCAAUGAUUUUAGAGCCGUCAACGUUGCAGAUCCGGAGAAGUGACUAUUCCAGACACUUGGGUUUUAGUAUAUCAAUUGUAGGCUUUGUCAUAUUUGUAGACAUUGAGCCGUUUUAUGCUAUUAACUCGAAUGCUGUGAGCUUUCUCAGAUUCAUCAUUUUUAGUUUUUAGCGAAUUUGAAUAUGUAAUAAUUUCGAUUGAUGUACUCUGACAAUUUGAACCCUCUUCUCAUCGCGCCACGCUGGGAUCUCAUCGUGGGUACGAUGGCUGCGCUGUUUAUUACGUUUUUGCCUUUUUUUUGCUGUUUUUUCCACUUUUCUUGCUUCUGGGCCAAAUAACUUCACUUUUCCAGGUAUUUGCUUACUUCUAGUCUUCAAUUGCUAUUAAAACUACCCGUAUUUACUACUAAAAACAUAAUAUAAUUGACUGUCAUCCGGUAUCUUUAUGGGUCAGGUUGAUGGUUUUCUUUUGUGGCUUGGAGACUGCGGAGUAUCUUCUACGAAUGGGAUUAGNNNNNNNNNNNNNNNNNNNNNNNNNNNNNNUUUUUAGCUUUAUUCAUUGGUGACCCGCUUGUAUCCAACACCAUUGUUUUAUAAUUCCACUUUUCCCGGUCUUUGCUCGUCUUGUGCAGAGACCAGUUAUUAUUAAUAUAUAUUUUGCCGUUAAAAAAAAAGAAAGCCUAGUGGCAAUUUCACCCUUAAGGUGGAUGACCGAAGUUCGAACUUCAAUCCCUAGAUAUAUAAUGCAAUAUCCCUGUCAAUUGUCCUAAGUAGGGGUGCUCGCGGUUCGGUUUGGAUCGAUUUUGUGGCAAAAAUCCAUCCGAUCCAAAGUUAAAAUUACUCGCGGUCCGGUUCGGUUUUGGAUGGCUANNNNNNNNNNNNNNNNNNNNNNNNNNNNNAAAAAUCCAAUCCGAUCCGAUCCAAUUUUGUGCGGUUUAAUUUGGAUCGGUUUUUGGAUAUCCAAAUUACAAAUUAAAUUUUAUUUAAUUAAAUAUUAAUAUUAUAAAUAGAUGGUAAAAUAAUAUAUUUGAUGUCAAAUAUAACACAUAAUAUGAUAAAAAUUAAUAUUUUGCAAUGAUAAUUAUCAAAUAUAUUUGAAACCUAUGAAAUAGUAAAAAUAAAUAGAUGAAAUUGAACUAAUAAGUAUUAUUGAGAAAAUUAAAAACCAAGAAUUAAUAUGUUAAUGCAAUAUAUCAUACUAAUAAAAAGUUAAAUAACUAUUAAAAUUAUGUAUGCGGNNNNNNNNNNNNNNNNNNNNNNNNNNNNNNNNNNNNNNNNNNNNNNNNNNNNNNNNNNNNNNNNAUCCAACACCAUUGUUUUAUAAUUCCACUUUUCCCGGUCUUUGCUCGUCUUGUGCAGAGACCAGUUAUUAUUAAUAUAUAUUUUGCCGUUAAAAAAAAACCUAGUGGCAAUUUCACCCUUAAGGUGGAUGACCGAAGUUCGAACUUCAAUCCCUAGAUAUAUAAUGCAAUAUCCCUGUCAAUUGUCCUAAGUUCACGGGACCUCUCAGUUAUUAAAUUAAAGAGGAUAUACUCGGUUAAAAAUAAUAAUUAAAGAGACUAUAAAAAAUUUCUGAAUAUAUGAACAAAAAAAUAAUCUCUAGGUAUAAAUGAAUUCUUUGUGUAGGUUCCUGAUUAAUUAAGGUAUUAAUCAAAUUCAAUUAAGAAAACACGCAAAUUUUAAUUAUUUAUUCCUCUUUAAUAUAAUUUCAAUAAUAUUUAAUUAUUAUAAUUUUUUAAAUAAUAAGAAUACUUUUUUCUUUUAAAAACCAUUCACUCAGUUUUUUUUUGUUUUUUUUUAUCAAGUAGCCUAGUGGCAAUUUCCCCUUUAAGGUGGAUGACCGAAGUUCGAACAUCAAUCCCUAGAUAUAUGAUGCAAUAUCCAUAUCAAUUGAGCUAAGUUCACCGGACCUCUUAGUUAUUAAUUUAAUUAAAAAGGAUAUAUUCAGUUAAAAAUAAUAAAUAAAGAGACUAUAAAAAAAUUUCUGGAUAUUUGAAAAAAAAAAUCUCUAGGUAUAAAUGAAUUCUUUGUGUAGGUUCCAUUAAUUAAGGUAUAUUAAUCAAUUCAAUUAAGAAAACACGCAAAUUUCAACUACUUAUUCCCCUGUUUCUCUUCCUUCAUCAUUGUGCAUUGCAUUGCAUCACUUCAACCUUGCUCUGUUUUCCCACUUCACCCUCUUAGCACCCCCAUCUACCACAACAUGUACCAGCCAAACCAGCGCCCCGCCAUGAACACUAUCCUAUGCCGCAUCCUCUCUAUCUUAACGGCCAUCGUAAUAAUCCUCGGUGUCAUCAUCUUGAUCNNNNNNNNNNNNNNNNNNNNNNNNNNNNAUCACGUACAACCUCAUUUCCUCCGGUGUGUUUUACGGCAAAGAUAAAAACCAAUUUGGGAACAUAGCAACCACUAAACUUCAACCCUUUUACCAACCAAAAAAGAGCAAGACAUUGUUUCCUGUCCAUUUCGAGACUUACAAUACAUACGUCGGUAAUGUUGUUGCUAAUGGCAUUACCGAUGGACGGAUUCGUGGAUCAGUGAAAUUUGGUGUGGUGUUUAAUGCUAUUAUUAAGCGUACAGGUUGGUUUCAUCCUAAGGAUAGUUUGUUGAAGGUUUCAUGCAAUCCUAUGAACUUUGUACCUUCGACCAACACUGCUGUUUGGGUCUUACAACGUCCUUUAAAAUGUGACUAGAUAUGAUAUAUUUGGAGAAAUUAAUUUUUUUUAUCUAAAUUUAAUAGUCGCUACAAUUGUAGUAGUCAAGUUGUUUUAGAUAUGAUAUUUGAAUCUCUAUUUUGUAUACAUCUCGAUCAAUUAAAUCUUCGGAAUUUUAAUGUUUUUUAUUUUACGUUGAUCGCAACUAUUUAUCUAUCAAUUAAUAUCAGUGAUUUGAUUGUAUAUAAUAAACUGAAAUAAAUGGCUGAGAUUGUAUCAACAUUAUUCUACUUGUGAAGAUGAUUCAAACUUAUUCUGUUACACGGUGUAACAAAUCGAGAGAAUAUAAUUUUUAUAGGUAUGUCAGGUACUUUUUUUUUUAUGGGUAUCAAAGAAUAUAUUUUUUUAUCAAGUGGUAUAAUGCUUAGAAAUUUCACCCUUAUAAAAGACGGUAAAUAAAUAGAGUGUUCGAAAUUCGAAUUCCGACUCCUACAUAUAAAAUGUGAUGUUUUCGCUAAGUGAUUUACACAUAAUUUUAUGUUUUAUUUGAGUUUUUCCUUUGUGAUUUAUAGGUUUGUCCCGCAUUAGUGCGGAGUUGUUUGUUAUCCCGUCUUCGUACGGUGUUUGUCCCAUCUUCGUACGAUGUUUGUUUUGUUUAAAUUUGCAGAUUUGUUUCAAUCGAAAAUCAGAGCAGAUUCAAUGAUUUUCGAGCUGUCAACGUUGUAGAUCCGGAGACAUGAAUAUUCCGGACACUUGGAUUUUAUUAUAUCAAUUGUAGGCUUUGUCAUAUUUGUAGACAUUGAGCCGUUUUAUGCUAUUAACUCGAAUGAUGUGAGCUUGUUCGCAGAUUCAUCAUUUUUAGUUUUUAGCGAAUUUAAAUAUGUAAUGAUUUCGAUUGAUGUACUCUGUCAAUUUGAAUGAAUGAAUAUCGUUUUUUUCGUAAAAUAAAAAACUUAUGAGAAUGAGCUCCCCAUUCAUAAUAAAAUAUAAUAAUUAUAUACUAUUUGAACCAAUUUUUAUUUUUUAUUUUUUUAUAACGUAUUUGAACCAAGUUAUUGUAUUUAUGUUUAAUAAUUUGUGUAAAUCUUAGUUAUUAAGAAAUCAAAAUAAAUUUUUUCAUAAAAAGAAAAAAUAAAUCAAAAUAAAUAUAAAAAGCAAUGAUACAAUAUUUUCUACACAAUUAAUCGUUUCACACUGUUAUAGGUAUGAAAUUGUUUAAGCAAAAAUAAUUGGUAAGAAAGAAAAGUGCUUUCUUUAGUUUCCAAAUAAUAAAAUUUUAUUUUGAGAAAAGUUUUAUGUUUUAUUUUAAGAAAUGUGUUAAGGCAAAUGCAAUCUCUAGUUCUCAUUAGUCAUAGGCAAGACCUUAUAUAGUACUUGCAAAGUGGUUACAACAAACUAACAACAAGCUAACUAACUCAAACCAACUAACUUGGCCCUUAAGCAACCAACGCGCGCAGGCCUAGCAGCUGCAGUUGGCUUACACGCGUGCUUGGCUUGCCAAUGAGCUUGCUUACUGCACAUACACUAACAAGAAAUAUAGUUUCAUACACAUUUAUUUAAAACUAGUAAAAACACUGUGCUUUCGCACGGGUCGUAACGUUACGAUGAUAUUUUUUUAAGUUAUAGUUUGGUAAUCAAAAUUUGUUGUAAUUAUAAAUAUUUAAAUUGAAAGAAACAAUUAUAUAUAGAACAUAUUUAUAUAUCAGUUAGAAUUUACCACAUAUAAAAUAGUUUUUUAAAAUUUUUAUUAGUUAAAACUUGUCUCACAUAUGAUAAUUAUUUUGAAUUUUUUAUCAGUGAUAAUUUAUCCCGUAUAUGAUAUUUAAAAUGUAUAUAUCAGUUAGAAUUUAUGCCGUGUAAAAUAAUUUUUUUGGAAAUUUUUAUUAGUAAGAACUUGUCUCACAUAUGAUAAUUAUUUUGAAUUUUUUUUAUCAGUGAUAUAUUUAUCCUGUAUAUUGUAGUUAAAAUUUAUAUAUCAGUUACAAUUUACCCCGUGUAAAAGAUAAGAGAAGAGGAAAAAAGAAGUAAACAAUGAUGUUGGGUGAGAGAUUGAGUAAUAUAAAAAUAUGUUUCAUUUGAAAUUUGAAUAUCAUAGUUUGCUUCUGACGGUCGGCUCUGCAAGUGCACAAAAUCGCUACCAAGUAAUAAAGUGAUAAGUUGAUGGGUCGGGUUGAUGGUUUUCUUUGGUGGCUUGGAGACUGCGGAGUAUCUUCUAAGAAUGGGAUUAGAAGUACCUCAAUUAGGCCGUGUUUGUUUUUAACUUUAUUCAUUGGUGAUCCGCUUAUAUACGGCACCAUUGUUUUGUAGUUCCGCUUUUCCCGAACUUUGCCCGUCUUGUGCAGAGACCAGUUAUUAUUAAUAUAUAUUUUGNNNNNNNNNNNNNNNNNNNNNNNNNNNNNNCUAGUGGCAAUUUCACCCUUAAGGUGGAUGACCGAAGUUCGAACUUCAAUCCCUAGAUAUAUAAUGCAAUAUCCCUGUCAAUUGACCUAAGUUCACGGAACCUCUCGGUUAUUAAAUUAAGGCUUAAUUACACAUUUGGUCCCUUACGUUUAUUUUAGGUUUCAAUUUGGUCCCUUACGUUUAAAAAGAAUCAAUUUGGUCCCUUACGUUUCCAUUNNNNNNNNNNNNNNNNNNNNNNNNNNNNNNNNNNNNNNNNNNNNNNNNNNNNNNNNNNNNNNNNNCUUAAGGUGGAUGACCGAAGUUCGAACUUCAAUCCCUAGAUAUAUAAUGCAAUAUCCCUGUCAAUUGACCUAAGUUCACGGAACCUCUCGGUUAUUAAUUUAAAGAGGAUAUAUUCGGUUAAAAAUAAUAAUUAAAGAGACUAUAAAAAAUUUCUGGAUAUUUUACCAAAAAAACAUCUCUAGGUAUAAAUGAAUUCUUUGUGUAGGUUCCUGAUUAAUUAAGGUGUAUUAAUCAAAUUCAAUUAAGAAAACACGCAAAUUUUAAUUAUUUAUUCCUCUGUUUCUCUCCCCAGUAUUUGUAUCACAACGUUUCUCUCUCAUUUUGUCCAUCGCAUUGCAUCAAAGAGUGCUUUGUUUUCCACUUUUCAACUUUGCUCUGUUUUCCUACUUCACCCUCUUAGCACCCCGCCAUCUAGCACAACAUGUACCAACCAGACCAGCGCCCCGCCAUGAACACUAUCCUAUGCCGCAUCCUCUCUAUCUUAACGGUCAUCGUAAUAAUCCUCGGUGUCAUAAUCUUGAUCGUAUAUUUCGUCUUCAAACCCCGUUACCCAGAGAUCCGAGUCGAUUCAGCCGAACUCACCUCACUCAAUUUCACCGGAAACUACCUCACCGCUAAAUGGGACAUCAAAUUCAUCGUCUCAAAUCCGAAUAAAAAACUCGACAUCACAUACAACCUCAUUUCUUCCGGUGUGUUUUACGGCAAAGAUAAAAACCAAUUCGGGAACAUAGCAACCACUAAACUCCAACCCUUUUACCAACCAAAAAAGAGCAAGACAUUGUUUCCUGUCCAUUUCGAGACUUACAAUACGUACGUCGGUAAUGUUGUUGCAAAUGGCAUUACUGACGGACGGCUUCGUGGAUCAUUGAAAUUUGGUGUGGUGUUUAAUGCUAUUAUCAAGCGUACAGGUUGGUUUCAUCCUAAGGAUAGUUUGUUGAAGGUUUCAUGCAAUCCUAUGAACUUUGUACCUUCGACCAACACUGCUGUUUGGGUUUUACAACGUCCCGUAAAAUGUGACUAGAUAUGAUAUAUUUGGAGAAAUUAAUUUUUUUUUUAUCUAAAUCUAAUAGUCGCUACAACUGUAGUACCAUAGUCAAGUUGUUUUAGAUAUGAUAUUUGAAUCUUUAUUUUGUAUACAUCUCGAUCAAUUAAAUCUUCGGAAUUUUAAUGUUUUUUAUUUUACGUUGAUCUCAACUAUUUAUCUAUCGAUUAAUAUCAUUGAUUUGAUUGUAUAUUGUUCUGGGCCGAGCAUCGAGCUCGAGCAUCAGAAGGUGUCGAACAUACACGAUCCGAGCAAGACUCCAACGGUCUGAUACUCUUACGUNNNNNNNNNNNNNNNNNNNNNNNNNNNNNNNNNNNNNNNNNNNNNNNNNNNNCACAUCAAGGCCUCCAAGCCGUUUUCCGGCAGCCACUUGAUGGCCAUUAGUGCCAUCAAGGGCCUUGGCCCAGCGCUGGGGCUAUAUAUAUGUGACUCCACUUCAUUUGCAAGGUACGCAUAAUUUUAGCCAAGAAAACCUUUACACACAAACUGACUUGAGCGUCGGAGUGCCUGCAGGUACACAACCCCCCUCCGCUUCAACAGGGGUCUCAAACGCUCUCAACCACCGCAAACGCCGGCGAAGUCGCAUCAUUCUGGUCAACGCGAUCAUAUAUAAUAAACUGAAAUAUGUGAUUGAGAUUGUAUCUACACUAUUCUACUGUGGAGAUGAUUCAAACUUAUGCUGUUACAUGGUAUAACAAUUGGAGAGAAUAUAAUUUUUUUCUUCGAUAUGUUUGGUACCGAUGUACAAACCUAUUGAUGUAUCGACUUAUUGAAUGAUGAUUAAUUUUAUAUUUAGCUAUUGUUUGUAUGAAAUCCUUUCUUUUAAAUCUUAAAGAUUUAAGCUACUUUCUCAAAUUAUUUGAGUUUUCCGUAACAACAAUGGGAGAAAUUUAGUCCUAAAUAUCAAUUAUCUGUGUAGUAAUGUGAGAAGAUAAAUACAAUAUGAACAAUUAGAAAAACUUUAAACUAUUUUUUGGACAUCAACAUAAUUAUUUAUAAAUUUAUUGGUAUCGUUUAAACGAAAAAUAAAAUGUGUGGUAACAAUUGUAUAAAAGAUCUAUGGUUGAAAACAUGAACUCACAAAUCGUUUAUACUAAACCACUUAAUCAAUAUGGGUGGGUACCAAUACCUACAAAUUUGUAUAAUAGUUUCUAAGAUUUUAUCAUAGUUUCUUCUAUUAUUUUCAUUAUAGGUUUUUUACUAAAUUUUUUUCAUUAUAGUUAAAUUAUUUAAUUUCGACAAGUAAAUUUUUUAUAGGUAUGUCAGGUACUUUUUUUUAUGGAUAUCAAAGAAUUUUUUUUAUAAUCUAAUUGUUAUAAAUUUCACCCUUAUAAAAUGAAUAAAUAGAAUGUCCGGAGUUCGAAUUCCAACUUCUACAUAUAAAAUGUGAUGUUGCCGCUAAACUCAUAAGGUGGAUAUCAAAGAAUUCAACUUAUGAGAAUGAGAUCCCCAUUCAUAAUAAAAUGGUUUAACUACACAUUUGGUCCCUUACGUUUAUUUCAGGUUUCAAUUUGGUCUCUUACGUUUAAAAAGUAUCAAUUUGGCCCCUUACGUUUAUUUUAAGUUUCAAGUUAGUCCUUUCCGUUAGUUUUGUCAUUAACACCGUUUGAAUAGUACACGUGUCAGUGUGUCCAAGUGUCACGUGUCAGUCCACGUAUGCAAAUUGACUGUCACAUGUGACAAAAUUGACGCAAAGGACCAACUUGAAACCUAAAAUAAACGUAAGGGACCAAAUUGAUACUUUUUAAACGUAAGAGACCAAAUUGAUACUUUUUAAACGUAAGGGACCAAAUUGAAACCUAAAAUAAACGUAAGGGACCAAAUGUAUAGUUAAGUCUAAUAAAAUAUAAUAAUUAUAUACUAUUUUUGAACCAAUUUAUUUAUUUAUCUUUAUAUAGUAUAUUUUUUUUUGAACAAGCCAAAAUAAUAUAUAUUAACGAAAAACAGUCUCCUCAGCACAAGAUGUGUCAAGAUAUACAACCAAAUUUUACAAAUAGUCAUAGAAAGAAAUACAAACAAUCAUACAAGGCCAAACAUAGCAAAAGACUAGACCACCACUUAUGGUAGUUUGAGACGAAAGCAACACUUGUUGUCUUCAACCACCUAUAGAAAAAGAGUUUGAUCUUGUCCAACAACUGAUGAGGAGUACUGGUUGAACAAUCUGUGAUUUCUUUUCGUCCACACAACUCAAACGUCAGCAAGCCAAAUGAGCUGUAAAAUAUCCUUCAAAAAAGAAAAGAAAUCAAUAAUAAAAAUAUGUUAAUUGUAUUUAUGUUAAUAAUUUGUUUAAAUCUUAGUUAUUAAGAAAUCAAAAUAUCCUUCAAAAAAGAAAAGAAAUCAAAAUAAAUAUAAACAGCAAUGAUACAAUAUUUUCUACACAAUUAAUCGUUUCACACUGUUAUAUUUGUACAACCAAUCUAUAUACAAUGUACACUUAUAGGUAUGAAAUUUUUUAAGCAAAAAUAACUGGUAAGAAAGCAAGUCUUGGAAAAGUGCUUUCUUUAGUUUCCAAAUAAUAAAAUUUUAUUUUGAGAAAAGUUAUGUUUUAUUUUAAGAAAUAUAAGUUUUCCUAAUUAAAUUUCAAACACGUUUUUUUAAAAAAUCCCACUUUCAUUUUAAAAAAGGUUAUUUUGACCAAAAUUUAAUCAUUUCAUGAAAAAAAGAAGCAAAAUAUCAUUAUUUAUAAGUAUUAUAUUAAUUUUCUACAAAAUUAAUAUAAUACUUAUCCGAAAAAGGACAUUGUAUUUUAUAUGUAGAGGCCGGUGUUCGAACCCCGGACAUCCCACUUAUCCACCUUUAAAGGUAAAAUUUCUAGUUACCAGAUUACUUGACAAAAAAAAAUUACUGACAAUUUUAGUCAAUAAUAUUUAAUUAUUAUAAUUUUUAAAUAAUCGGAAAUACUUUUUCUUUUAAAAAUCAUUCACUCAGUUUUUUAUUUUUAUUUUGUCAAGUAGUCUAGUGGCUAGAAAUUUCACUAUUAAGGUAGAUAAUUUUAAAAACCAUUAGUUAUUUUAUUUUUAUUUUGUCUAGUGGUUAGAAAUUUCACCAUUAAGGUGGAUAAGUGGGAUGAUCGGAGUUCGAAUCUCAAUCCCUACAUAUAUAAUACAAUAUCUCUGUCAGCUAAGCUCCCUGAACCCCUCAAUUAUUAAUUUAAAGAGGAUAUAUUAGGUCAAAAAUAAUAAUUAAAGAGACUAUAAAAUUUUAUGGGUAUUUGACCAAAAAUAUAAAAAAUCUCUAGAUAUAAAUGAAUUCUUUGUGCAGGUUACUGAUUACUGAUUAAUUAAGGUGAUUUAAUCAAUUAAUCAAUUCAAUUAAGAAAACACGCAAAUUUUAAUUAUUUAUUCCUCUGUUUCUCUUCCUUAAUCCCCUGUAUUUGCAUCACAACGUUUCUCUCUCAUUUUUUUCUCUGAAACACUGUCAANNNNNNNNNNNNNNNNNNNNNNNNNNNNNNNNNNNNNNNNNNNNNNNNNNNNNNNUUUCUCUCUGAAACACUGUCAAUGGCAACACCCACCAACGACAAAAACAAUAGCACCUCCUACCCACCACCACAAAAUCCACCACCCUCCGCCGCCGCUUCUCAUCCACCACCAUUCUAUCAACAACCAGCAACCAUAUUAACCUACCAACAACCCCAAUCCGCCGCGAAAUCUUUCCUCUGCUGCUUCCUUUCUCUCAUAACCGCCAUUGUAGCUAUCCUCUUCAUCACUGUCACAAUCAGAUACUUCAUUCUCAAACCACGUUUCCCUGAAUUUAGAGUCAAUUCAGCUACACUCACCUCAUUAAAUUUCAAUAAUAAUAACUCUGGUCUCACCGCUAAAUGGGAUAUCUCACUCAUCGUCUCAAAUCCAAACAAAAAACUCGAAAUCACAUACGACGCCAUUGCCGCCGGUAUCUUUUAUGGAAAUGAGCUUGAGCUUCUAGCAUCAACUCAACUUGCACCUUUUAACCAACCAAAACAGAGCACGAAUAUGAUUGGAGUACAAUUCCAAAUUCUCAAUGAGUAUAUUGAUAACAGUGUUGCUAAUGGUAUUGUUGAUGGAAGAUUACGUGGGUUUAUGCAAUUUGGGAUGGUGUUGAAAGUUUUGAUUAAGCUCAAUGGUUUGUUUCACCCAAAUGAUUUUCUCUUGAAGGUUACAUGUGUACCUUUGAAUUUUGGAAUGUCGAACAACAUUAACAAUGUUACUUGGGUUUUAUUUAGUGGUUUAGAUUGUAGCAUAUGAUGAUGAUGUUAAAUGUUAAUGAUCCAUGUAUCAUGUCCUGGGAAUGUGUUUGUUCAUUUUUUUUAUAAAUUUAUUAUCAUGAUUUAAUAAAAAUUAUAUGGAAAUUAUCAUUGGGUUAUCAUAUUAUAUGUUUAAAGUUUUCACCAUUAUCUAGUUGUAAGUUAUGGUUUUAAAUUCUUUUUCUAUAACCGUUUUGCCCUAUAAUUGUUGUGUGAUUUUAAAUCAUGUGUACGAUCGCAUUGUAGUUGUAAUCAUAUUAAAAAUUACAUCAGACAAUUUAGGUCAUUUUUGUUCAAAUAAUCACUAGUACAGAAAACACUUUUUACAGCUGGCCAAAAACCCAUUUUACAUAUGAAGCUUGUGAAUAUUGAAACCAUAUGUAAAUACUACUCCAUAUAGCUUUUCACAUCUGAUAUAUGUUCGUCAGAUGUAAACUACUUAAGUAAUAUGUCAUUUUUCUACUAGUGAAGUUACAAUUUAUGAACGCAAAAUCCUAAUCCGCGUUAAAUUUAAUGGAAAAUCAUGCUUUUAACAAUCUCUGCAAUCAUGUAUUUGAAGCAUCUUCAUAUCAAUAAUUAUGGAAUAAACUAAAACUCCAUAAUGGUGGUUAAAUAGUGUAACGGCGUAAUAGUAUCAUUUUGUAUAGUUUAUGGAAAUUUAAAACUUUGGCCGUGACUAAUCUCCGUUGAAGAGUGUCUUUGGAGAAAGGAUCCUCUUAUGUUGGAAAAAAAUUUGAGGAAAUAACGUGAGAAUCUAAACCAUUGAAUUCAAAAUAUAGAAUAAUAUUUAAAUUUAAGAGAAAUUGUGUAAAGUUGAUCAAUGGUUGAAAAGUGAAAAUUGAGAGGAUUCUCGUGUCUUUGACAAAUAAAGUUGAUUCUUCCCUAUUAAUUGAUUUUUUUUUUUCAUACACAAAGAGUUUGUGAUAGAAUUAACAAAAAACAAAAUUUUAUCAUACUAUCUUUAAUUUUUUAUUAUUUUACAAAUUCACUUUUUAAUAAGUGUUUGCUGUAUUGUUUUAUUUCCAGAAAAAGCACCUUGUAUGUUUUAAAGUAGUACUACUUUUUGUAUUUGGAUUUGUUGCGUAACAAAAGCACGUGGUUAUACGCUGUAAUUGAUCUCGACCAUUAAUUUUAUAUUAGAAGGCUUAGAUUAUACAUGCACUAAAAUAGUUUUGAUCGUUGAUUGAAAUCGAACAGCUAAUGUUGUAAGUGUAACUGCGUUGACCCAGUUACAAUAGGAAAUUUGUUUCCCUACUUUAUAGUGGUACACUAAUGAUGAAAAAGAUGGAGUAACAUAAUAUUUAUAUGAUUAAACUAUUCUCAAAAAUUACUUUAGUCCUUUAGUUUUUUUUUCAUUUAAACCAUUUAUCUUGUGAAAUAUAUAUUGCUUUAGGGUGUGUUUGUUUCAAGGUAUGAAAUUGCAUUCCUUGGAAUGAUAUUCCUAGGAAUAUUAUUUCCAGGAAUAACAUUCCUACUCAUGUGUUUGGUUAAAAUUUAGAUUUCCUNNNNNNNNNNNNNNNNNNNNNNNNNNNNAGAAGUUAUAGGAAGUUGAGUUUUAUUCCCAUGGGAAUGUUAUAUUCCCACCCUAUUAGCAUGGGAAUAACAAGUGUAGAAGUUAUGUGUAAUUAACAUUCCUGGGAUUAAAAAAUUUCUGGGAACAAAUUUUCAAAACUUGAAACAAACAUAGCAAUGUUACAUUCAAGAUCUCAUAUUCCCAGGAAUAACAUUACAAACCUUGAAACAAACACACCCAUAGUCUUUUAUCUUUUCUUAUUUUUUAUUAAAAAAAUGCUGAAACUUUAUUUAUUUUUUAAAUAACUUUUUAUUAUAAUUCACCAAAUUCAAAUUUUGAUGAACAUUAUUCAUCAUCUUCAUCAAUAUCUUCAUCUUCUUCCUUAAGAAAAAAAACUCAACACACCUUCAUUUAGAUAGAUCUAUGUAUUAUAUUAGCAAAUUCAUACACAUUCCCCUUGACCAAAUACUGACUUAAACGUUGAAUGCUAAUAUUUUUGCAUUGUAGCCACAUUUUCUCUAUACAUAAAGCUCACCACCACCACAAGUUACACCUUCAUCUCAUCAGGGGAACUAUCCAUUCUGCCUGUUCAUAGAAAAAAAUUCGAUAAACCUAAUUUGAAAAACAAUUGACCUAUAUCUACUAUAUAAGAAAAGAAAGUACCUAUGAAAUUCCUAAUUUGCCCCUUUUUCAUUUUUUGACACAUAAUCAAUUCAGGGUUAUUUUGUGUCUUUAUUAAAAAACGUUAGUAGAAAAAUGCUAAAANNNNNNNNNNNNNNNNNNNNNNNNNNNNNNNNNNNNNNNNNNNNNNNNNNNNNNNNNNNNNNNNNNNNNNNNNNNNNNNNNNNNNNNNNNNNNNNNNNNNNNNNNNNNNNNNNNNNNNNNNNNNNNNNNNNNNNNNNNNNNNNNNNNNNNNNNNNNNNNNNNNNNNNNNNNNNNNNNNNNNNNNNNNNNNNNNNNNNNNNNNNNNNNNNNNNNNNNNNNNNNNNNNNNNNNNNNNNNNNNNNNNNNNNNNNNNNNNNNNNNNNNNNNNNNNNNNNNNNNNNNNNNNNNNNNNNNNNNNNNNNNNNNNNNNNNNNNNNNNNNNNNNNNNNNNNNNNNNNNNNNNNNNNNNNNNNNNNNNNNNNNNNNNNNNNNNNNNNNNNNNNNNNNNNNNNNNNNNNNNNNNNNNNNNNNNNNNNNNNNNNNNNNNNNNNNNNNNNNNNNNNNNNNNNNNNNNNNNNNNNNNNNNNNNNNNNNNNNNNNNNNNNNNNNNNNNNNNNNNNNNNNNNNNNNNNNNNNNNNNNNNNNNNNNNNNNNNNNNNNNNNNNNNNNNNNNNNNNNNNNNNNNNNNNNNNNNNNNNNNNNNNNNNNNNNNNNNNNNNNNNNNNNNNNNNNNNNNNNNNNNNNNNNNNNNNAGAAGAUGUGUGAUGAAUUUUGCCCACACUAUAAAGAAAUGUCUUUUUUUCUUUCUUCUCAUAAGUUUCAAAAAAGAAAACUUCUUUUAAGAAUAUUUGGGCUUGAUUUUGCCCAAUCAGCUUUUAUUUUGAUAUUUUCUUUUUCGACCCCCGUGUUUCUUUUAUACUCCUUGAGUUUCCAAUUUUUCCCUUGCAAAAAUAUACGGUUUCUAGAAACCGAAAUUUACUCUGAAUUUGCACUAGAAAAAAUUCGGUUUCUGCGAAUCGAAUAUUUCUGCAAGGGCAAAAUUAGAAUAUUAGAGGGUGUAAAAGAAUCACAAGGGGUCGGAAGAGAAAACAUCUUUUAUUUUAUCUAAUAUUUGGAAAAUUUCUCAUCCCACUACCCACUUUCUCACCCACCCCCUGAAAAUUCUAUUUUUGCCCUUGGUCAAAAAAUUCGGACCGCGCUUUCCGAAUUUUUUUAGUUCAAAUUUGGAAAAAAUUCGGAAAACACAUUCCGAAGUUGUUUUUAAAGGCAAAAAAAAUUCGGAAAACGCGUUCCGAAUUUUUUGACCAAGGGCAAAAAGGAAUUUCCAGGGGGUGAAUGAGAAAGUGGGUAAGUGGGAUGAGAAAUUUUCUAAUAUUUGGCCUUAUGUUUUUGGUCAAUUUGGGCUUCAUGUUUGCUACAGUAUAUUUGGGCCAUGACACGCCAAUUUAUCAAAGGCACCCCACACNCAGGGGUGUUCAAAUUCAAACAAAUCUAAAAUAAAACACAAGCCGAUCUAACAAAAGCAAAAAUUGAACAAAACUUAAUAUUAUUGGAUGUCUUUGAUUGUCCUUUUGUGAAAAUUGUUCGGCACGAAAAUUGGAUUACUUUUUCAAAAUUUAAUAAACCAAAUCAAAUCAAACGCUUAAAUGAGAUUACACAUGUAUAUAUGAAAACAAGGUCUUGAAUUUUACCUCAAGCUUGGGAAUCCAACAAUUUAAAACUAUUAGGGAGAUUAUUUUUUACACACAAAUUUUUUAAUACUUAUUUAUUUUUUUAUUAGUGAUUCCAGUUUACUAAUACUUUUUAAGUUGAGUUUGAGGAAUUUGUGCUUACGUUAGUAGUAUUAAGUAUUAACAUUAUUCAAAAAAUUAUAAAAUGGAUGUGUGAGACUGCUGAUGUCGACAACUAAAAUAUAGGGGAGUUUCAUUUCAAAUGCUCUAUUAAAAACUUGCUCAAGUUAGAAAUUAUCUUAGAUAUUAUUAAUCAACUUUUCUUGAACAAAACAUAUUAAGCCCUUGAAAUCAAUAGAUUAUUGAAAAGGAGAAUGUUAUGAGUGCCUAAAGAUUUUAGUUAAAAAAAAUCAAAGGAAGUAUUUUACAUAAAAGAAUUAUCUAAUUAUACUUUUUGCAACAUCCUAUUUACAUAAUAAAAUGAAAGACUUCGACGUUAACGUUGCAAAUUUAUAUGCACUUUCAUGAUGACGCUGUAUGCUAUUAACUUGGGUGCUGCAAGUUUGUUUAUAUACACCUUUUUCAGUUUUUAGCAAUUUUGAUUUUGUAAUGAUCUUUGUAUUUUCAAUUUGAAUGAAUGAAUACAGUUUUUUAGUAAAAAAAAAUAAAAAAAAUGAAACUUUAGAAAAGAAAAGUGUAAAUAUUAUUAUUUUCUAUACUAAUUUUUUUUUGGCCGGAGGGAGUACUUAACACCAUCUCAUUUAAAAUAUUAUUCUUUCCGGUCCUUAAUAUAAGAAGACAUUCAUUUUUUAGAUACAUUAAAAAAUUGAUGUAUCUAGACUAUAUUAUAUACUAGAUAUAUUCAUUUUUAAUAUAUCUAAAAGGUCAACUUCUUCUUAAUUAUACUUCCUCCGGUCCUAAAUAUAAAAAAAAUUAUUGUUUAGAUUCAUUGAGAAUAUAAUGCAUCUGAUUUAUAAUAGGGAUCAAAUACAUUAGAUUCUCAAUAAAUCUAAUAAAUAAAUUUUCUCUUAUAUUUAGGACUGUAGGGAGUAUUAAAGGAGUAGAAGGAGUAGUAUGCAUGCAAUCGAGAGAAUAGAUAAAUAGAAAAAUCACACACAUAAAUGACAAAAUUAUUUCAAAUUUCCAAGAAGAUCUUAUUGGGGGUACAAACAUUGGGAUCUGAAUCUCAUCUCAUCUCAAUGUCAGUGCAAAUGCAAGAAGGCACUCCUUUUAAUAUCUUUAGGCUUUAGCAUUGUACUGUAGUAAAGUAAAGUGCCUAAUUUGCCCAAGUAUUCCUUGGCUGGCUCGGCCACCACUUGCAUAUUUUUGGAGUAUGCUUUGAUUUUAUUUUUCUCAAAAUUUAUCUCUCCAUCUCCUACCGCAUUUUCGUACUCAAAUAUUCCUUUCGGUCCUUUUUAUAAGGAAUACUUUGAAAAAAGCACACAAACCAAUAAAGCACAUUUAAUAUAGUUAUUUUCAUUUAAUACUCUUAUAAAUUUAAAUUUAUUCCAUAUAUACCCUUAUUUAAUUACUCUUUAUUCAACUAACUUACUUAUUUUUAAAUUCUCUCAUAAUAAAUAAGGGUAUAAGUGAAAUUGAACAUUUAAAACACUUGAAAAUUGGUCAAAGUUUCUUACAUAAAUGACCAAAUUUUUUGCACUAAAUGUUCCUUAUAAAAAGGACCGGAGGGAGUAGAAUAUACUACUAUUAUAGUGCUUAAACAAAGACAAAUAAUAAAUAAAUCCAAUAAUGUAUUAGCCAUAAUUANNNNNNNNNNNNNNNNNNNNNNNNNNNNNNNNNNNNNNNNNNNNNNGAAUUAAAAAGUUCAUAGACAUGUACUGUAUUUCUUCAGAAAAGAACCUUCUCUUGUCAGCAUCUACCUACCUUACAUACCUACCAUAGUUAUUCUCGAAUAAAUUAAUUCAUGGGAGACGCACUGUUGAUAUUGUUAUAUAAAUAAGAACAGGGUGAUUUUACUCAAAAAGAAAAGAACAUGGGCGAUUAAUGGACCUGGAUCGUGAGUAUAGCUCAAGUGGUAGGUACAUUGCAUGUAAUGAUAUGUAUGGACCGAUGUUCAAACUUGUCUACUCCCACUUAUAUUCAUAUUAAAAAGGUGAAUUUCAAGCCACUAGAUAACUUGACAAAAAAAAAGGACUCGGAUCGACUAUAUGUUGGAGUUUCACGCAUGCACAAUAAUCGUUCUCAGUCGUCAGUUUAUGAUCAAACGGUUCAAAUUCAUUACAAUAUUUGAUCUCGACCCUUAAAAUUUGAUCGGACGACUAACAACACGUACUAAUUGUGUUAAAUCCAAAUUCGUGAUUAAUCAAUGAAAGAAGGUGAAAUGAAGUUUUUCUCUUUUAGGAAAAUAAAUAUAAAUCAUAUAGCGAUGUAUGUUUUUUCCAUGAAUUAUAAAUUAUUAUUUUUUCACCAAAUCACAUGUUUCAAAGUUUGGUCACUAGUACUAUAUGUGAACAGUAAAACAGCAUGGGAACAAGUUGAAUCCGUUGUUACAAGUGAUAUAAAAUUGACUAUAUUGUUUACAUUUGCUUUUGGCUUUAUACUUUGAACUUUCAACAAAAAAAUUAUGCAGUAGUUGCUUUUUAAUUAAUUUAGGUAAAAGGGAGAGAUUGAUUGCUACAUAAAUACCAUUACUGGUGAAUCUCACCGGAGUUGCUUAUAUUAUACGGUGAAUCUCCACAUCGAAAAGUUAAAGACAUCCUUAGCUUAUACUCCAUCCUCUUAUAUAUAAGAUCAAAUUAAAAAUUUACCGGUAUUAAAAAAACGUAAAUUUUUCAAGUCAACAUAUAUAUAAUACAUUGUAUAGGGUUUUCAUUUAUAAAAAGUUGUCUCUUCUUUUUGGAUUACUUUUCUCUCACUUAAGGUUUUGCGCACACACACUCAUGUUUAGUGUGUCUCAAUAACAAUAACAUACCAAGUGUUGAAAAAAAAAACUUGUAAUGUUAAAUUUGUUAAAAAUAUGUUUUAUGAAAAAAUUCCAACAUUAAUAAAAUACUUUCACUAAUAGCAAUAUAUAUCAUGGCUUGUAAAUGUAUCAAUUGGAGACAUAUCUUUUAAAUCAAAUUUCUUUGCGGUGGCUUUUUAUUCUUCUCUAAAAAUGCUAAAUACUUUACAACCAAUUUUGGUUUUUUUUUAAGUCAAGUAAUUUAGUGGUUAAAUUUUUUACUUUUAAGAUAAAUAAGUAUAGUGUCUAGGGUUCAAAUUUUGACUCCUACAUAUAUAAUACAAAGUUUCUAUCAACUGAGCUAAGAUCCGUGUCAUUUUUACUUUGGCUUAUAAUUAUUUUUUCAUUGAGUUAAUUAGCAAUUCAUCAAACCAUAGGAGUUGUAUUUACUAUUUAGGCCCUUAACACUAAACUAUAGUUUAGGUUUUAGUCCACAGGGUUUGGUGUUGGCAACACCAAGUGGAGUAAUAGUGUUUUCCUAUUUUCAAACUAUAGGUUAAGAAAAACAAAAAAUGGUCGGUGUGGCUGAGUUGGGAGCUUUUCUGUCAUGGUAAGUGGGACCUAGUAUAACGUGUAGUUAUGUGUGAUGUUCUUUUCCAAAUGGUGAAUUUUUAAGAGCAAAAUAUGUAUAUUAGGAAAUUAUUUCAAAGUAUAAUAUUUAUAUAUACAUUAUAAAAAAGUUUUCUCUAGGUUUUUGUUAGUAAUUACAUAAAUAAAUGUAGAGUCUUCGUCAAAAAAAAUAAAAAAUAAAUGUAGAGUAAAAAUUAAUUUAUGGUUACCACUUACUAGUUUACUCAUUGAAUUUUGAUUAAUUAUUAAGUAAAUUAAUCACUGUCCAUAAAUUCUUGUUCAAUUGACAGUAAUGUGGAAAUUGUUAGUGUUGAACAUUAUGAUAUGAAUUCGAAUCUCGAUCCCUCCACUUUAUAUGUACGAGUUUCUGAUGGCUUGUCAUUUCGUAUAUCUUUAAAAAAAAAAGACUAAACUAAUCACUUGUUUUCAAGUAAAAUUUAGUUCUUGUCGGUGCAUAAAUAUCCUACUCAAUUUCUAACAUUUGUGCCUUUUCGUACCGUUGUAAGAUUGAUUAUUUUACAAAACGUAAAGCAAGCCUUUGUUGACUCUAGCAAGCAUAAACAUCAUGCCAUCAAUAUUGAAAUGGACUAAUACUAUUAAGUUGGGGUAGAGUAUUUACCAUCUACUAACUACUACACAAAUUACUAACACUCCUUCACGGUUCUUAGUAGUUUAGUAUAGAAGAUAUAUUAGCAUCUACCUAUACUAAACAAAUUGCUAAUACCACAUUAGUAAAUGUUAUAUUAAUCAACGGGUCAGGGUGAAAGAUGACAAAAUCAUCAAUUCAAAGUGUAUGUAUAACAAAAAAAUAAAUGGAGAGUCCAUUUGAUAUACCUUAAGAAAAAGGAUACUGAUAGAUUGUUAUAAGAAAAUAAUAUUGAAAUAUCCGGUUCACUGGACCGUCUAAUCUAGUUCGGGAUCAGUUUUGAUAUUAAGUGGUUUCAGUCCUCUUAUGUUCACAGUUACGGGGAAUCGAACCAUGAUCCUCUCUACCAAGUCUAACGUCAAUCACAACUGAACAAACUAUCGAUUAAUUAAUUUAUAAUUCGAACUGAAAUUCUCCCUUAUGAAAUAAAAAAUACCAUAGUUAGUACAAGUCACAAGUAAGUUUGUACUACUGCAAUAAUAACUAGAAAGUAAACCCCAUUCCUCAAGUGGCAAUUCUAAACACGGAAUCCAAUAGACAUUGGAGGCUAAUUAAUAACUCCUCUUGCAGCUACUAUAUCCUCCAUAGUCCAUACCCCCCUACACAUGUUAUUAAGGUGAAAAAUACAGGGUACAUAUAAAUAUCACAGUGCAGGAGCUAAUAUAAUCAAUCACUGUGAAAUUAAAAUUAUCCAUUUUACUUUUAUGCUUUAGCAGAAUUUGUUAUGAAAAUGACAUCACAUUUAAUUUAUCUGAGCUAAAAUAAAAUACAUAUACCAAGCCGCGUUCAAAGAGAGAUUUUGCUGCCCAUUUAAGUCGUAUAAGGUUAAAGAGAUUAGUUUCUGCAGUUGCGCGCAGAUAGUACAUGAUUUAAAAAAAAUAAAAAUAAAAUACAUACUAGUAUAUAUUUCAAUUUCAAUAUUCCAGCCAACAUAUACAUACAUGUCACACAAAUUAACCUUCACCAGCUAACAUUCAUUUCAUGCAAUAUAAUAUACAAUAUUCUUCUUCCAUGUAACAUAAUCUUAUCACAUCUUUUCAAACACAUCAUCAUCACCAUUAUUUCUAAAUAAAUAAACUCCACCACCUUGAAAGCGAUAAUCUUCCUACCAAAACCUCCACCUUCUAAUUUCCACUCUCAUCAAUCACACUUAAACCAUUUCCCACUCUCUUCACAAAAACCAUCAAACCUUAUUUUCUCCAAACUCAACCAACAACCUCAAAAACCAUGUCGGUAAAAGAGUGUAACCACCACAAAGGAAAAAAACACAAACGUUUAAGAAAAAUCUUCUGGGGAAUCAUAAUCUUCCUCUUCAUCGUCCUUGUCACAAUUCUAAUCAUCUGGGCUAUCUUAAAACCUUCAAAACCAUCUUUCAUUCUUCAAGAUGUAACUGUUUACGCUUUCAACGCCACAGUUCCAAAUUUCCUCACCUCAAAUUUCCAAGUCACAGUUUCUUCUCGCAACCCUAAUGACAAAAUCGGCGUCUACUACGAUCGUCUCGAUACUUACGUAACUUACCGGAGCCAGCAAGUUACUUACAGAACCGCCAUACCACCGUCGUAUCAAGGACAUAAAGAGGUUGACGUUUGGUCGCCGUUUGUUUACGGAACAAACGUUCCGGUGGCUCCUUAUAACUUUGUUGGUUUAAGUCAAGAUCAAACUAACGGUAACGUUCUUGUUGUCGUUAAACUUGAUGGCAGAGUUAGAUGGAAGGUUGGUGCUUUCAUUUCUGGUCAUUACCAUAUUUUUGUUCGUUGUCCUGCUUUUAUUACGUUUGGUUCAAGGAGUAACGGAAUUAGCGUCGGAGAUAGUGGCGCCGUUAAGUAUCAGUUAGUUCAACGGUGUACCGUUAAUGUUUGAAAGGUUCAGUUAACGCCGUUGAGUAUACUACUCUGUUUCAUACUCCUUCCUCUGUUUUUCCUCUGUUCCUUGGUAUAUUACUCUGUUCUGUUUAGUUCUGUUUUUAAUUACACGUAUUAUUAUAUUUUUCUUCUAUGGUAUUUGAAUUGUACAUUUAGUUGUUAUUAUUAAUGUUAUUAUUAUAUAGUAAUUAUUGUUAUAGAAUAAAAAUUUACUUGGAGCUAUAUGGGAAUAUUGAUGGAGGAGAUAGAGAUGUAGAGAAAAAUUAUAUUAUGUAUUGUAAGUUGUAAUACUUUCAUUUGAGGUGAAUCAAUACAUUAAUAAAAUACUUUUUAUUUUUAUUUUUGUGUUAAUUUGGAUGGAAGAUGUGUAUCUGGUGAAGCAUCUAUUGAUAGUGUAUUUUGCUUUCUUCUUUUCUUAAGAAUAUUCAUGAAUAUUUGGUUUGAAUCAUCUUUCCUUUGGGUUUUUCUUUUUCUUGUUAUGGUUACUUAAGCAUGUCUAUAUCUUCUUUUCACUAGACCUCUACUUUUUGAGGAGGAAGCUCGGGUAAUUUAAAGUUCGGUUAUGAGAUAAAUAAAAUCUAACUAAAAAUUAUUUUUAUAAGAAAUUGAAUUCGAAUUCUAGUGAAUAAUUUGUUCAAGAGAAAUUUAUUAAUCACUCGAGUCUAAUAUCUUAAUUAUACAUGCGUAUAUCCUGGCCACCUCACCUUAUUGAUCAAUAAUGAAGAGUGUGUAUAAUUAAUUAAUUAAUUAAUUUAAUAAAUUAAGCUCUAUAUUGUUGGACCACUUAUUUCCUCAUUUUGUAAACCAAACUAAACUAAUUAUACAUUUAAGUGUGUCACUCAAUUGGACUGAAUUGGUUCUUUCCUCGUAUAUUUGUUUUUUUUUUUAACUAAUUAACAUGUAUUUAUGGUAAUAUUUGGAAAUACUACUUACUUACUCAAGGGAAUACUUUAAUUUGUUUUCUCAAAAAAAGUUUUGGUAAAGGAAAGUAAUUCACAUACGCACUUAGAAGUUAAAGUCAAUAAUUGAAGGAUUUAUUUAUGUUCAUUCCACAUGGUAGUGUGGUGCUGGUGGUGGUCCUUUUCAUCACACUCACCUACCGUGCCUAAAGAAAGGGGUUUUGGCUUAUGUCAUGGCUACAAUACAAAUGGAUACAGCUUAUGCUCAAUUAUGAAUAUACCACCUAUUUUUUCUUCUUAUUUUAUUUUACUCAUUCAUUCUUAAAUUUAGUUUCUAUAGUGUAAGUAUAAAUAAUACUCCCUUGAGUGAUUAUAGUAUAUAAGCAUAUAAAACCGAUCACAAUUAAGUGAUUAGUCUCUGCAGUGACAUAUAAAGAAUAUUAGUUCACUAAAUAAAUAAAUUAUUGUAUGAUGAAAUGCGAGCAUGGAAAACCAAACAGAACACAUGCAUGAAUGCUUAUACUAGCAUGAAGUAGUUUGAACUCAAAGAGAUUUGGUAUAGUGAUCGAUCACCACCGUCAAGGUUGUGCAUAUUGAAAGGAACCUUCUUUGAUUAGUCAACACUCAAAACCGCUAUUACCAUGUGCAUGUGAUGUGAUGCUACAUUGAUAACGACUCACGAUGUUUCUAUUCCAUACUCAUCAAAUACUAUACUACUACUAUAGCAUGAAUUUAAUUAGCUUAUACAUACAUUGAAACGACGUCACCCUUGUAUUAUUGUAUUUUGCUUGCUUCUAAAGGAACACUAUCAUCGAUCACAUGCUCUCAAUGUUUGUUAGUUACCAUGUUAAAUUGACAAUAGCAUGAUCUCUCUAAGCUCACCUAUAUUCUUUUUUCUCAAUAUUCUUAGUUUCUUACAAGAUCAUGAAUUUCUCUUUUCGCAUAGAAAAAUUCGGAAAACGUUUUCCGAAUUUUGUUAGUAAAAAUUUCAGUAAAAAUUUUACGUGCUAGGGAGGUGAAAAAGCAACAUGAGGAGUGGGUUGAGAAUUUUUCCUCGUGGAUGGCACCACUUGAUUGAGAUCAGUUUAUAUAUGGGCCUAGUCAUUGUAAUAGUUUUGGGCUUUGCCCUACUUAAGAAAAUGGACUCCGUUUCCAAUUUUCUACAAUUGUUGGAUGGUUUCUCUCUCUCCCAACCAAAUUUCUCUUCUCACUCAGAAAAUUUCGGAAGAAGUUUUUCGAAAAAAAAUUCAGUGUAAACAUUAGUUGCAUUUACCUUAAAAAAAUGUUGGGAAACAUUUUUGAAAUUUUCUGAGUGAGAAGAGAAAAAAACUUUCUAAUUGUUGACCAUUUUCCCUUUGGCCCAUUCCAAUCCAAAAUGAAUCAUCUAUUGCUGAUUUUAGUGAGCUCACAAUUUUUUUUAUAAGAAAAUAAUUGCAGUGCUUCUACAAUUUUAUUUUAUAUUUAGAUGUGGUUUAAGCGGAUAUAAUAUGUUAUUGAAAUUAAGUGAUUAAUUAAUUCAUUUUUAUUAAGCACAAAUCAUAUGUGAGUAUUUGAAUUCGAACUUAAGGAUUAUUUGGUGUCUCUUUUUGCAAAGUAUUUUCUAUGAUCACUUUGGUACUUUUUUAGGAUGUUUUUCGAUAUAUUAUGCUUGUGCGGAAAAUUUUGGAAAAACAUUAAUCACUACUCUUAAUAAAAUUAAAAUUUAUACUAAAGAUAAAAUUUUGGAAAAACAUUAAUCACAUCUUGUGCUUAAGGGGCUGUCUUUUGCUUUAAUAUAAUUUCUCUUAGUUUCUUAAAUAAAAAAAUACUUUUAAAAUUAUUAAUAUACUAGGAGUAUAUGACAUUAUUUGAAUGAAUUUUUUAUAGAUUGAUUGAUAAAAAUAUCAAUAUGUAAAAAGAGAUCAUGUUAAUAAUCAGACGAAACCACGUCAAGACAAGAUCAAAUGUUAAAUACCUUGAUAGUUUCCUCUCAAAUCCCAAACAUGCAUUUUAAAAUUGGAAAAUAGUACCUUUAUAUAAAAAUAAAAUAAAAAUGGUGCCCACCAAAAGGGAGAUUCUUACAAACACUAACUAUUGGCACCAAGUCAACACAAUCCACCAAGACGCCAAUAUUGAUAGUAUUCUCCUCUUUACCUUUGACUUGAGUCUAAAUUGAAUUAAAUUAGACAAAUACAUUAGUAUUAGUAUAUAUAUAAUCCAAACCAACCAACCGUGUUGUUACCACAAAAUCUACAACUUCUUUCCUUUCUAUAUAUAUAGCUACUACUCUUUCUAUCCUAUCUCACAAUUCACAUAGCAUUUCUCUAUUAAGACUUCAUAUAAUUCAUCUCACAACUUACCUUCAUCUCAUAUUUGUCUCUUAUCUUAGAAAGUAUACAUGGCUGAUAGGUACUCCCAGUUGAACGGUGCCUUCUAUGGCCCCGCCAUACCACCGACGACGGAGCAAAGCCGCUCUAGCUACCACCGUGAUAGAAGCUGUUGUGGUUGUCUCUUUAGCAUCUUAUGGAAGAUUGUCGUCGCACUCGCGAUUCUCUUUGGUCUCAUAAUAGUUAUCUUUUAUCUCAUUGUUCAACCCCGCACCUUUAAGUUCUAUGUCACGAAAGCUCAACUAACCCAAUUUGAUUACACCAACAACACACUACACUACAACAUGGUGCUCAAUUUCACAGCCCGCAACCCAAACAAAAAACUCGGUAUAUAUUAUGAUGAUGUGGAGGCUCGAGCAUUUUAUGAAGGGUCGAGGUUUGCUAUUGUUGAUGUGAUCACAUUCAAGAACUCGUUCCGCCAAGACAAGAAGAGAAGUGAUCCUAUGAGUGGCGUUUUCUCAGGACAACAACUGUUGAUGCUCGACAACGAUCAAGUAUCCAAGUUCAACAAAGACCAAAUUAUUGGAAUUUAUGAUAUUCGUGUGAAGCUCUACUUCAGGAUUAGAUUCAAACUUGGAGACUCAAUAUCUAGCAAUUACAAGCCCAAGGUUAAAUGCGAUCUCAAUAUUCCCUUGAAUUCUAGUAAUGCCCCGACUAUCUUCAACCGAGUUGUGCCCAACAAGUGCCGUGUUGAAUUCUAGGUUAUCAACAUGCAACAAAUUUUGAUUGUAUUUAAAUUUACAUCUUUUAACCCAUUAAUUUUAAUUUGGAGGUACUAUUUUACCCCCUUUUAUGUAUAUGAUCCAAAUAAUUGGGAGAAUAUUUGUUGUUUAUUUUAUUGAUUCUUUGAUUGUAUGAUAUGAUCUUCGUAUACCAUCCAUAGAAUGUACUCGAUCCGUUACUUGAGAAUGGUCUAAUGAAUAAUGAUAUUAAUAUAAUAAUGGUUUAAAUAUGUGUUUUUCUCACCAACAGGAUGUUUGGUAGAUUGGUAGUGAUCGAGAGGCUAUAAUGGGUGUAGGUUUUCUACCAGUUCAGUUUAUGUGCUUUUGUCCGCUAAUGUUUGGCCCUUGUUGGAUUUGAACAGUUGUAUUCCUACCUCUCUAGCCCUUUCCUUCAUGUUCCACAUCCUACUUUAAUCUCAGCCAUCUAUACAUCUUUUCCCAUCUCUUCUAUACUAUUUUUUUUCUUUGUAGAUCAACAAUCGUUGAAUUAGAAAAAUGAGAGAAGGCUAGACACAAAUAUCAGGAGAAGAUGCCUAGCCCACUGAUACAUGGGCCAAAACUUUAUUUUGUAAACCUAGAAAAAUUCUCUUUACACCCACCACACACACUCUUAUUCCCCUUAAAUUAUAUUUUUGCUUAUGAGAAUACAGUUUGAAAUGUAUUUUUUUGAAUUUUUUACCGUUAAAAAUAAUAUUUAAACUAAAAUAAGUUCGAAAAAUAUGUUAUGAACUUUAUUCACAUGGGUAAGAAUCUAAUUUUGAGGAAUAAAAGUGUUGAGAGAAGAAACUUUUUUGAAAACCUAUCUAUAUGUGCAGGCACAUUGGACCGUGCUAGUCUUUUGACAGGUGAACAUAUUGAUUUACUUUUGUCAGCAUAUCUGUUACUCGCGCGCCCUACGCUUUUUUCAUUUUACUAUUUCGCUAUUUAAGUAGCAGACGUUAUAAAAAUGAUAAAUUUUAAUAAAUGUCAUCCGCAGUUUAAGUAACGGUCGUUAUAAAGGUAGAGUGAUUUUGGGGUAUCCGAUAUCUAAAGUAGGAGAUGAGAGUAUUUUGGUAAUUUCGUAGGGCGCGAGAAAUUGAAUAAGGUGAAAAAAGUAUUCUGAUAACAAGAUCAAAUGUCAAAGACUUGUAUUACGGAGUAAGUACAAUUUUGAUAACAAGCGGAAACUUUCAAUUAAAAACAGUACGCUAAACUCAGUCCACAAUCUGCAUCAAACUUUGCACAAGUCAAAACUAUCAUAUUGAUAUAACUUCCUUAAAACUCAACACGCUCACAUACUUACAACCGUGUUAUCCCCACAAAACCUUCAAUCCGUUUUAUUUCUAUAUAUACACAUUAUUACUCUUUGUUCAUUUAUCUCACGUUCACUCUUUCAAUUCAAUUUAAUUUGCAUUUCAUUUCACUACAACUAGUCACAAUAAAAUCUCAAUUUUUGUGUUCAUUUGCUCAUAACAUGGCUGAUAACAAGCAACCACAAUUAAACGGUGCAUACUAUGGCCCUGCGAUUCCACCGCCAACAACACAACCCCGCUACAGCCAUCACCAAAUUACAGUAAAUCUUAUGUAACACUUAUAUUGGCUCUUUAUCUUUAUAUUUGAUAAAUGAAGAACAAUACUGCACUAGCAAAUAUAACCAAAUUAAUAUGAAGCACGAACACCGGACACGACACAGACACGUAACGUCGACACCGAUAAUAAUUUGAAAAAAUGACACAAUUCGAUUUAAUUAUAAGUGUUAGUGUCCGACACUGAUGCGUUUUUGACACCGGGACACGCGUAAUCCGAGAGUGUCCGUGCUUUAUACAACAUACACAUUUAGAAAUUUGUUAAACUAUUGUUAUAUACUCGAAUCCAAGCUUUGAUAAAUGAAGAACAAUACUGCAGUAGUAAAUGUAACCAAAUUAAUAUGAAGCACGGACACCGGACACAACACGGACACUUAACGUCGACACCGAUGAUAAUUUGAAAAAAUGACACAAUUCGAUGUAAUUAUUAAGAAACAAUAGGAAGAAGAAGAAUAAUGCAGUACAAAAAACAAAAUGAACAAUCAAAAACAUAAAAGUUAUAGAACAUAAGCAGCAAAACCAAAUGUAAUCAAAUCAUAAAUAGGGGGUUUCUCUCUCACCUACCAAAAAAGAGGGAAAAAAACUAAUACGAAGCACGCACACCGGAUAUGACACGGACACUGACACGUCGACACAAUUCGAUUUAAUUAUAAGUGUCAAUGUCCGACACCGAUGUGUGUUUGACAACGGAACACGUGUAAUCUGAGGAGUGUCAGUGUUUCAUACAACACAAACAUUUAAAAAUUGUUAAACUAUUGUUAUAGAGGAGGGAUUCGUUGUCUCUAGGAUUAAGUCUUCAUUGACUUACUCCGCUUAAUAACUCGAUAUUGGUACUAUAUUUCUUUGAUACAACUGUUAAUAAUUCGAUAUUGAUUCAAAUAUCUUAUUGAGUAGAUCAACUCCACAAAUUUUUAUAAAAAUUCAAAAAAUGUAGUUAUGUAUUUUGACCGUUGAAAUUCAACGGUUUUUUUAAAAAUUUAUCGUAUGUUCAAUUGAAAUUAUCAGAAAAAGUAUCAAACGAUUUUGAAUUUUUAUAAAAAUUUGUGGAGUUGAUUAACUCAAUGAGAUCUUUGACUUCAACGGUUGGAUUGAAGAAAUAUAAUGCUGAUAUCGAGUUAUUAAGCGGAGUAAGUCAAUGUAAACUUACUCCUGAAGUCAACAAAUCCCUUCUCAUUGUUAUAUACUCGAAUCCAAGAUUUGAUAAAUGAAGAACAAUAUUACAGUACCAAAUAUAAACAAAUCAUAAAUAGGGGAAAAACUGACAACACACAACAAUUAAUCAAUCAAUACUAAUUAACAACAACAAAAUACACUAGUAAGUAACGACCUCUAAAAUUUCAUGCAUACAUACACAGAAAACAACAAAGAGGGGAAAAGAAAAACACUUACAAUUCGGGCGAUUUGACGGUUACGACCCCUUAUUCCUCUAUCGUUGAGACUGUUCUCUUGACUUCUCUGAAUAUUCAUCCACUUAUGAUUGUCAUGUCUCUGAGCAGCACGAGCUAUCAUCCCGUCGUGACGGAGUCGAAUCUUGUGAAAACACAGAAAAACGUAAACGAAAAUAAAAAUGGAAAAAGGAAAAUGGAAAAGAAAAAGGGUGAAUGUUACCAACCUUGCCAUGUUAUACUUCUUAAGGAUUGCAAGACGCUCAAGGUUGAGAUUUUGUCGGAUUCUUACAAAGUCAAGGUCGUUCUCUUCAUGUUGAAGUUCAUAGGAUAUUAAUUUUUUUCCUCUUCAUUUUCUCCCACAUUACGGAGUUUGGUAUCAACAUUUUUCAGAGUCGUUUGUUUUCUUGAAGAAGAAGAAGAAAAAGACGGAGAGUCAAGAGUGAGUGAAUAGAUGACAAUUAAUAGAGUGUCUUUCUUUUUUUUCUACAAAGCCCUAUUACGGCUGCUUUGAGUUUGUUGCCCUACCGAUGUGUGUUUGACAAUGAGACACGUGUAAUCUGAGGAGUGUCAGUGCUUCAUACAACACACACAUUUAGAAAUUGUUAAACUAUUGUUAUAUACUCGAAUUCAAGAUUUGAUAAAUGAAGAACAAUACUGCAGUACCAAAUAUAACCAAAUCAUAAACAGGGGAAAAACUAACAACACACAACAAUUAAUCAAUCAAUACUAAUUAACAAAAAACAAAAUCACACUAGUAAGUAACGACCUCUAAAAUUUCAUGCACAUACACAUAAAACAACAAAGAGGGGAAAGGAAAGACACUUACAAUUCGGGCGAUUUGACUGUUACGGCCCCGUAUUCCUCUAUCGUUGAGACUGUUCUCUUGACUUCUCUGAAUAUUCAUCCACUUAUGAUUGCCAUGUCUCUGAGCAGCACGAGCUAUCAUCCCGUCGUGACGGAGUCAAAUCUUUGUGAAAACACAGAAAAAUGUAAACGAAAAUAAAAAUGGAAAAUGGAAAAGAAAAAGGGUGAAUGUUACCAACUUUCCCAUGCUCAUGCUUCUUGAUGAUUGCAAGACGCUCAAGGUUGAGAUUCUGUCGGAUUCUUACAAAGUCGAGNNNNAGGUCGUUCUCUUCAUGUUGAAGUUCAUAGGAUAUUAUUUUUUCCUCUUCAUUUACUCCCACAUUACGGAGUUUGGUAUCAACAUUUUUCGGAGCCGUUUGUUUUCUUGAACAAGAAGAAGAAGAAGACGGAGAGUCAAGAGCGAGUGAAUAGAUGACAAUUAAUAAAGAGUGUCUUUCUUUUUCUCUACAAAGCCCUAUUAGAGCUGCUUUGAGUUUGUUGCCCUAUGAUUUUAAUCAGACGCCUCAUAAAAAUAAAUUUAAUAAGUCUACAACUGUCUAUGAUUUUAAUCUGACGGUCACUCAAGUCUGACGCCUUGUAUGCUUUGACUGCACCUAAUCCGUAUUUCCUAUUUGUCGACAUUCCUCCAGCUGAUCCUAGAAGGACAAAAUUUUGUGUCAUUAAUUAAGACAAUUAAUUAAUAGUAGACUAUUAAUUCAAAUUUCGUACUCUAUUUGUUUCCUAAUCCUCUUUUUUGUUUUUUAAUUAAUUUUAGCGCCACUAUUUCUUAGACUUUUUUAUUUUCUUUUAUUUUUUUAACACAACUGCUAUUUUUUACUUGGCAUGUCAUAUUAUAGUAUUUUGUAUAUAUAUAUUUAAAACAUUUUUUUCGUGUCAAACAAAGACGAUAAACGGUUUUGACAUGAUAAUUAUCGUUUAAAUAAUUUUUUUCAAACAAUAGUUUCAUGAGUAACUCUAGUAUGAUAAUUAUCGUUUUAAUUUCAUUGUUUGGAUGAUAAUUUGAAGAAUUUUCAAAAUGAUGAAAAUUUAUGAAAUAUUUUGUUCAAGUUAAAUUUAGAAUUUCAAAAUGACACAUAAAACCAAAGAAUUUGAAAUUCCUUCUUCUCUAUAAACUUUUAAAAAUUACUAAAUGAUUAUAAAACCUAAAAUCAGCCAAAAAUCGAUUAUAAACCCUAAAAUCGGCCGAAAACCAAAAAAAUCGGCCAAAAAACCAAAAAUCGACCGAAAACCCAAAAAAUCGGCCGAAAACCUAAAAUCAGCCAAAAUCCAAAAAAUCGACUAUAAACCCUAAAAUCGGCCAAAAACCCAAAACAAUCGGCCGAAAACCUAAAAUCGACUGAAAACAUAAAUAUCGGCCAAAAAAUCAAAAAAUAUGCCGAAAAACCCAAAGUCGACCCUAAAGCCAAAAAACUCGGCUGAAAACCUAAAAUCGGCCAAAAUCCCAAAAAUCGAUUAUAAACCCAAAAGAUCGGCCAAAAUCGCAAAAUUUGACUUUAAACCCUAAAAUCUACCGAAAAACUUAAAAUCGUCCUAAAACCCUAAAAUCGACUAAAAACCCUAAAAUCGGCUGAAAACCCAAAAAAUCGGCCGAAAAAUCUAAAAUCGUCCCUAAACCCAAAAAACUCAUCCGAAAACCUAAAAUCNNNNNNNNNNNNNNNNNNNNNNNNNNNNNNNNNNNNNNNNNNNNNNNNNNNNNNNNNNNNNNNNNNNNNNNNNNNNNNNNNNNNNNNNNNNNNNNNNNNNNNNNNNNNNUUUGGUUUUUCGGCUGAUUUUUUGGGUUUAGGGUCGAUUUUUGGUUUUUCGACUGAUUUUUUGGGCUUUCGGCCGAUUUUUGGGUUUUUGGUCGAUUUUAAGUUUUUCAGCCGUUUUUGUGUUUACGGUCGUUUUUGUAUUUCGUUGUUCAACCACGCUCCUUCAAAUUCUAUGUCACGGAAGCCAAUUUAACUAAAUUUGACUAUACAAACAACACAUUACACUAUAAUAUGGUGCUCAACUUCACUGCCCGCAACCCAAACAAAAAGCUUAGCAUCUACUACGACAAUGUGGAGGCUCGGGCAUUCUAUGAAGGGGAAAGGUUUGCAAAUGUUGAUGUGAAAGCCCAGUUUCGCCAAUAUAAGAAAAGCAGUAACCCCAUGAGCGGUGUUUUCUCGGGACAAAAUUUGUUGUUGCUCAACAAUGAUCAAGCCUCUGAGUUCAACAAAGAUAAGAAUGUUGGAGUUUAUGAUAUCUAUGUGAAACUCUACUUCAGAAUUAGGUUUAGACUCGGGGAUUUGAUAUCAGGUGAUUACAAGCCUAAGGUGAAAUGUCACCUCAAAGUUCCGUUGACUUCGAACAAUACCACGGCAACCUUCACUCCACUUGUGCCUACCAAGUGCGAUGUUGAUUUCUACUAACUACACAUCUAUACAUUUUCUUGGCACAAUAGUAUUAAUCGGGAUUUGGUUUCUUUACGCUUUUGUUUUUGUUUCUCUCUUCUGUACGUCAUAUUUGUUGCCAUUUUAUUCAUUCUUUGAGCACAUAAAGAUCAUACCUUUCUAUAUAUGCAAUAAACAGAUACUAGUAUUUUUUUCAAUUCUUUUAGUUAUCCAGAUCUGCCUGUUAUUAAUUUAAUUUAAACCAUUAUUUUAGUCGGAACAUCCAUCUCCCAUGUUUUGCCAAAGUAGAAUAACAAUGUCACAUAAAUCCCAAUUGAACAUCUCCCAUGUUUGAUCUAUGACUAGUUAGGAACCCGUGCAACGCACGGGCGAGGACGGUUGUAUUAUCUGACCAAAUAUAGCACUUAGACAAUUGGUUUUUAAUAUAACACACACAACCAUAUAAAAAAGACAUAUAAUAAUAUAAUUGUUGUUAUAGUUAAAACAUAAACCAACAAAUAAACAAUAACUUAAGAGUAUCAUCCAGAAAACGCACGGGGAAUUAUUUAUAAUUUACUUUAAUAAAAUAGUUAGAUAAAUGUUAAUUAACAUAAUACAAUUAUAUUAUAAGGAAAAUAUAAUACAAAAUUUGUCCUAACAUUGUUUUUAGUAGUAUAGACUAUUGUUCCUAAUUCAUUUACCUUAUCAAUAGUUUAUACUAUAACCUCCCGUGUUAUAAGAAUUGAAUAAUAAAGAGUGACAAAAAUUGAACAAUAGUUUAUACUAUAGUUUCCCGUGUUAUAAGAAUUGAACAAUAAAGAGUGACAAAAAAUUUAACUUUAGGAACUACCAACCUCCACAGGAGCCGAGAGCUAAAAUCUCACCGGAGGAAAAAACUUUCAUUCUUCCGUCUUGAUACAAUGAAAUGACACGGAAUAGAGGAACAACUNNNNNNNNNNNNNNNNNNNNNNNNNNNNNNNNNNNNNNNNNNNNNNNNNNNNNNNNNNNNNNNNNNNNNNNNNNNNNNNNNNNNNNNNNNNNNNNNNNNNNNNNNNNNNNNNNNNNNNNNNNNNNNNNNNNNNNNNNNNNNNNNNNNNNNNNNNNNNNNNNNNNNNNNNNNNNNNNNNNNNNNNNNNNNNNNNNNNNNNNNNNNNNNNNNNNNNNNNNNNNNNNNNNNNNNNNNNNNNNNNNNNNNNNNNNNNNNNNNNNNNNNNNNNNNNNNNNNNNNNNNNNNNNNNNNNNNNNUUUUCUUAUUGCGAAAGUGAGCACUCAAAGUAUAUGGAAGAAAUGUCUCAAAUGAAAUCAUAUAUGCAAUUUUUGUUCGGUUAAUUUUUGGUUUUGAAUAUCAUGACUGAUUUUUUAUACCAUCUUUUAUACGUAAAUUUUUGUAAAAAAGGGACUAAAAUUAAAAACCGUAAAUUUAGAGGGACCAAAGGAAAUUUCAAGAGGGACUAAAAAUAUCUCUAAUAGCUACCAACUGAGGUACCUUUCCGGGAUGCCUCCCAUUUUUUUUUUAGGAAUAUAAAACUCGGAACUUAAUUAUAUUAAAGCUACAUAGCAUCAUCCCUUAGUUUGUUUUUUUUUUUACUCAACCCCUCUAUAAUAUUGACAUUUCACAAAUUGAAUUAAAUCAUCAAGGUAGACAGAGGAUGAGAUUCAAACAAUUACAGUUACAAUUAAUUAAAAAUGAACAAACAAUAACACGAAGAAACCUGCCCAACUUGAAGAAAUACACCACAUCUAUUUUACAAAUUUACUACAUUCAAGACUCAAGACGAACAUUAAGAAAGGCAAAACGCCUAUAUAUCAUUCUUGAGCAGACAUAUUUUAUGUAUGUGCUAACUCUAUCUGUAUACAUGAAGUUAGAAUUAUUAAAUUGUAGUUAGUCUAAUUAAGUGAGAAAUAUUGAAAGCUUGAUAUUGAAAGUNNNNNNNNNNNNNNNNNNNNNNNNNNNAAGACAUCAACAACUGUUGAACCUCGCAAAAGUUUUAGAAACAAAAUCAGAUUGACAAAUUUACAAAGUAAAAGGAAACAUUAAAUUAGGCACAAUGAGUCUGAAAUUUUGCAAGUUUUAGAUCAAGCAUGGAAGAAAUAUAAUAAUAUUUAAACAAUAAUUUAGAAAAAAUAUUUGAUUUAUGACAUCACUGCCAAUAAGCUAAAAACUUUAUAUCAAAAAUAAUUGAAUGAAUAAAAUAUAGGACCGGAAAAUUAAGGACCGGAAAUCAAUAUAUACAUGGUGAUUGGACAUACACCCCAUCAGAUAUAAUAUUUAAUAACUAAACUUUUAAACAGUGUUGUAAUAUAGUGGCUAUAGCGUAGUGGAACUUGAGGAAAUCACGUUUUGGGAUACACUAUUCAGCCAAAGUAUGGUCAAACAGUGGCUAUUUUGGCCGAUUUUUGGUUUUUCGGCCGAUUUUUUCGUUUUUUCGACCGAUUUUAUGGUUUAUAGUCGAUUUUAGGUUUUUCUGCCAAUUUUAUGGUUUUUGGCCGAUUUUUUCGGUUUUUCGGUUUUUCGGCUUAUUUAAUGGUUGAUAGUCGAUUAUAGGUUUUUUGGCCGAUGUUAGGAUUUUCAGCCAAUUUUUUGGGUUUAGGGUCGUUUUUAUUAAAAUAAAUUAACUUAAAUGAAGGAAAUUCAAUUACAUUACCCAAACAAAGAAUUUUACAAUGGAUGGAAUUUCAAUACUUUAUUCAAACACUGGAAUUUGAAAAUCAAGGGAAUUCAAUUGAAUCAAUUGAAUUGUCUAGUAUUUAAAAUCCCUUGAAUUUCUAGAAUCCCUCAUCCAAACACACUCUAAAGGAUUUAUUGGUGUGUUUCUUCGUAUUCACAACAAAAAAUAUAUUUUUAAAAGGGUCACAAUUAAAAACUCCCUUAUGACUAUUAUUUUUUACUUCAACUUGACACAACACAAUUAAAAUAACAAAUGAUACAUCAAGGUUGGUUAUUUCAAUUAAUUAUUUAUUUCCCCCAAACUUGAGUUUUGUAAUUACUCUAUAUUAUAUAUUGGACAUGCUUUUGUCAAUAAGAACUAUGUAUUCAUUCAUGUCUAUAUUGAAUUGUUAUGAUGCUUUCUUUUGUCAAUUUGCAGUAAGUUAUGCAGAUUGUUCGUUGAAGAUUCUUUAUUCAUCUAAAUGUUUUUGAAUUCUUUAUAGUAUCUAUAUUUCUGUUGGACAAUGGAUAGCCAAAACUGUUUUCGUGUGUAGCAUGCAGAUGCUUAGCAAGAGGGGUCUAUAAUCAAUUCACCUUGGGGCUAGAAAGGUGCAGAGUUGGUUCAAAAGAAGAGAAGUUUGAUUUGCAAAGAAUCUAAAGGUUGAACAAAAUAUACUCGAAUCGAAUCUAUGAUAUGGAAUAUUAAAUUUUUCGAUUGUUUGAUUUUGGUUAUUUAAGUUUUAAGUAAAAAAAAUUGUUCAAUUUGGACAUUUUAAGUUUCAAUUACUCCCUAUUGAUCUUUAAACUUACCUUGUUUUGUAUUUACCGAUUGACCGAUGAUUUUUUUACUAAAAAUUGUUUAUAGGGUAAAUGAUCAUUUACAUCCUGCAAAAUAAGUGAAUUUUCAUUUACUCCUUGCAUAGAUUUUUUUUUUUUCUGUUUAGCCCCUGCAAAAAAUAGAUUCUCUGAUUUUUCCCUCUAGGUGUACAACAGGACAUCUGACUGUGCAAAUCUGAUGACGUGAUUUGUACACAUGGAAAUAAAUUAAUUUAUAUUUAUUUUUGAAAUUUCACGUCAGAUAAUAAUAAUUAAAAAAAAACACUUUAUCUUUUUUAUUAAUUAAAAAAUCAUAAAAUUCAAAAUUUUGGUUUCUUAAAACGUGUGUUAUUGUUUCCACCCUUGUCUUCAUCUUCCUCAUUUUUGUUCUUCCAUUGGAGACUAUUUGAAACUUCCAUUCUUGUUCUUCAGACUCCUUUGUACUCCAUUGUUGUUCUUCAUACUCCAUUCUUGUUCUUCAUCUUCUAUCUUCAUCUUCCUCAUUCUAUUUGAAAAACAUGAAGAAAAUGACUGAAGACGUACCAAUACAACGGUUCAAAUCCAACAAGGGUAAAACAUUAGCGGACAAAAGCAAAUAAACUGAGAGAAGGCUACAAUAUUCUUCUCAGCAACCUAUUCAUCUUUUUCUCUAUCUACUACACUAUUCUUUUUUCGCUUUGUAAAUCAACAACCGUUGAAUUAGGAAAAUGAGAGAAAGCUGGACACAAACAAUAUGAGAGGAUCCAAAUCCAUAAGAGUACACAAAAUCUAAUCCGUCACAUAAACUUCUCAUGAGACAAAAUUUGUGACUUAUUUUAUUAUGAAAAUUUCUUCUUCGACCCCCCACAUUUAUUUUAUACCCCCUAAAAUCUCAUUUUGCUCUUAUAAAUUAAAAAAAUUUGGAACACAAAAUUUCGAUUUCUACGAACCGAUGGUUUCAAACUUUAGUUUUUAAAAAUCGAAAUAUUUAAACGAUGGAUACUUUAACAAUGACACCUAGAUUAACUCCCAAAUAUUUAGUUCCACCUAUCUUUAAGAAGCAACAAAUUCGUUGAAUAUAUCAGAGAAGAAGCAUAACAUAACAAAUUCGUUGAAUAAUAUCAGAGAAGAAGCAUAAAAUUAAUUAUAAAUUCAAUAACAAAUUCGUUGAAUAAUUAUAGAUCUGUUAUGUUGCAGGUCAAGCAAACCCAAAUAAAAAAUCUGUUGCCAUUGAAAUAAAUAGUGGGAGGAUGUAUUUAUUGCAGAAUUUGAAGCACUAAGAGUGGAACAUGUACGUCAUGUCUUGAAGGUUCACGUUGUAAUAAUUAACAAUUUAGAGAUCGAUAUAUUAUAUGAGAUUAGAACACACUUACUUGAUAAUCAUAAUCACAAAGCAAUGUUACCGGAAUUGCACCAAUAUCGAAAACAUCGAUAUAUUAGACAAGGUCUUCCUUUGCCUAAUCACAUGCUCAAGUCUUUGAGGUCUUUGAUGGGGAAGACAACAAAUGAGCGUUUAACUUAUUGCUAGCUUGACGACGUCGUGAUGGCAAAGGAGACCUAGCCUAUCUAUUUAUAAGAUAACAACCCUAGUACCACCCAUCAUGGACUCUAGAGUUGGGCCUACACUUUGUUUCUACACAAAUCAGAAUUAGUGUUCAAGCCCAUUAUUAUUGAUCACAAUUAUCGGGCUUAAGCAUCAUCAAAUGGAUCACAAC
rnacentral:lncRNA from 1 species